GGAACGAGUUAUCUGAACCUUCGGGGAACGAUAACGGCGUCGAGCGGCGGACGGGUGAGUAAUGCCUAGGAAAUUGCCCUGAUGUGGGGGAUAACCAUUGGAAACGAUGGCUAAUACCGCAUAAUGCCUACGGGCCAAAGAGGGGGACCUUCGGGCCUCUCGCGUCAGGAUAUGCCUAGGUGGGAUUAGCUAGUUGGUGAGGUAAGGGCUCACCAAGGCGACGAUCCCUAGCUGGUCUGAGAGGAUGAUCAGCCACACUGGAACUGAGACACGGUCCAGACUCCUACGGGAGGCAGCAGUGGGGAAUAUUGCACAAUGGGCGCAAGCCUGAUGCAGCCAUGCCGCGUGUGUGAAGAAGGCCUUCGGGUUGUAAAGCACUUUCAGUCGUGAGGAAGGUAGUGUAGUUAAUAGCUGCAUUAUUUGACGUUAGCGACAGAAGAAGCACCGGCUAACUCCGUGCCAGCAGCCGCGGUAAUACGGAGGGUGCGAGCGUUAAUCGGAAUUACUGGGCGUAAAGCGCAUGCAGGUGGUUUGUUAAGUCAGAUGUGAAAGCCCGGGGCUCAACCUCGGAAUUGCAUUUGAAACUGGCAGACUAGAGUACUGUAGAGGGGGGUAGAAUUUCAGGUGUAGCGGUGAAAUGCGUAGAGAUCUGAAGGAAUACCGGUGGCGAAGGCGGCCCCCUGGACAGAUACUGACACUCAGAUGCGAAAGCGUGGGGAGCAAACAGGAUUAGAUACCCUGGUAGUCCACGCCGUAAACGAUGUCUACUUGGAGGUUGUGGCCUUGAGCCGUGGCUUUCGGAGCUAACGCGUUAAGUAGACCGCCUGGGGAGUACGGUCGCAAGAUUAAAACUCAAAUGAAUUGACGGGGGCCCGCACAAGCGGUGGAGCAUGUGGUUUAAUUCGAUGCGACGCGAAGAACCUUACCUACUCUUGACAUCCAGAGAACUUUCCAGAGAUGGAUUGGUGCCUUCGGGAACUCUGAGACAGGUGCUGCAUGGCUGUCGUCAGCUCGUGUUGUGAAAUGUUGGAUUAAGUCC
rnacentral:rRNA from 1 species